rnacentral:rRNA from 1 species
UACGUAGGGUGCAAGCGUUAAUCGGAAUUACUGGGCGUAAAGCGUGCGCAGGCGGUUGGGCAAGACAGAUGUGAAAUCCCCGGGCUCAACCUGGGAACUGCAUUUGUGACUGCACGGCUGGAGUGCGGCAGAGGGGGAUGGAAUUCCGCGUGUAGCAGUGAAAUGCGUAGAUAUGCGGAGGAACACCGAUGGCGAAGGCAAUCCCCUGGGCCUGCACUGACGCUCAUGCACGAAAGCGUGGGGAGCAAACAGG